ACAACUGUCACUUCGUUGAUCAUCAGGGCUGAUUCAGCUGAUCUGACUGGCAGGGAGGGUGU
rnacentral:snRNA from 1 species